rnacentral:rRNA from 1 species
AACGCGAAGAACCUUACCUGGGCUCGAAAUGUAGUGGACCGGGGUAGAAAUAUCCCUUUCUAGCAAUAGACUGCUAUAUAGGUGCUGCAUGGCUGUCGUCAGCUCGUGUCGUGAGAUGUUGGGUUAAGUCCCGCAACGAGCGCAACCCUUAUCUCUAGUUGCCAUCAUUCAGUUGGGCACUCUAGCGAAACCGCCUCGGAUAACGGGGAGGAAGGUGGGGAUGACGUCAAGUCCUCAUGGCCUUUAUGUCCAGGGCUACACACGUGCUACAAUGGCCGGUACAAACCGCUGCAAACCCGUGAGGGGGAGCUAAUCGGAAAAAGCCGGCCUCAGUUCGGAUUGGAGUCUGCAACUCGACUCCAUGAAGCUGGAAUCGCUAGUAAUCGUGGAUCAGAACGCCACGGUGAAUACGUUCCCGGGCCUUGUACACACCGUGUCGA